rnacentral:rRNA from 1 species
CAACAGGGAUUGCCUCAGUAACGGCGAGUGAAGCGGCAAAAGCUCAAAUUUGAAAUCUAGCACCUUCGGUGUUCGAGUUGUAAUUUGAAGAUGGUAACCUUGGGUUUGGCUCUUGUCUAUGUUCCUUGGAACAGGACGUCAUAGAGGGUGAGAAUCCCGUCUGAUGAGAUGCCCAUUCCUAUGUAAGGUGCUAUCGAAGAGUCGAGUUGUUUGGGAAUGCAGCUCUAAGUGGGUGGUAAAUUCCAUCUAAAGCUAAAUAUUGGCGAGAGACCGAUAGCGAACAAGUACAGUGAUGGAAAGAUGAAAAGAACUUUGAAAAGAGAGUGAAAAAGUACGUGAAAUUGUUGAAAGGGAAGGGCAUUAGAUCAGACUUGGUGUUUUACGAUUAUCUUCUCUUCUUGAGUUGUGCACUCGUAUUUCACUGGGCCAGCAUCGAUUCGGAUGGCAAGAUAAUGGCAGUUGAAUGUGGCUUCACUUCGGUGGAGUGUUAUAGCCAGGGCCAGAUGCUGCGUGCGGGGACCGAGGACUGCGGCCGUGUAGGUCACGGAUGCUGGCAGAACGGCGCAACAC